rnacentral:rRNA from 1 species
CGGAAUUACUGGGCGUAAAGGGCACGUAGGCGGCUUUCUAAGUCGGGGGCGAAAUCCUGGAGCUCAACUCCAGAACUGCCUUCGAUACUGGAAAGCUCGAGUCCGGGAGAGGUGAGUGGAACUGCGAGUGUAGAGGUGAAAUUCGUAGAUAUUCGCAAGAACACCAGUGGCGAAGGCGGCUCACUGGACCGGUACUGACGCUGAUGCGCGAAAGCGUGGGGAGCAAACAGG